rnacentral:rRNA from 1 species
AUUGAACGCUGGCGGCAGGCCUAACACAUGCAAGUCGAGCGGAUGAAGGGAGCUUGCUCCUGGAUUCAGCGGCGGACGGGUGAGUAAUGCCUAGGAAUCUGCCUGGUAGUGGUGGAUAACGUCCGGAAACGGGCGCUAAUACCGCAUACGUCCUGAUGGAGCAAGUGGGGGAUCUUCGGACCUCACGCUAUCAGAUGAGCCUAGGUCGGAUUAGCUAGUUUGUGGGGUAAAGGCCUACCAAGGCGACGAUCCGUAACUGGUCUGAGAGGAUGAUAAGUCACACUGGAACUGGACCACGGUCCAGGCUCCUACGGGAGGCAGCAGUGGGGAACAUUGGACAGAGGGCGAAAGCCUGAUCCAGCCAUGCCGCGUGUGUGAAGAAGGUCUUCGGAUUGUAAAGCCCUUUAAGUUGGGAGGAAGGGCAGUAAGUUAAUACCUUGCUGUUGUGACGUUACCAACAGAAUAAGCACCGGCUAACUUCGUG